UCCCUUAGAGUUUGAUCCUGGCUCAGGAUGAACGCUAGCUACAGGCCUAACACAUGCAAGUCGAGGGGCAGCGGGAAGGAAGCUUGCUUUCUUCGCCGGCGACCGGCGCACGGGUGCGUAACGCGUAUCGAACCUACCCUUUACUCGGGAACAGCCUUGCGAAAGCAAGAUUAAUGCCCGAUGUUCCGCGUUUGCCGCAUGGCAAAUUCGGCAAAGAUUUAUUGGUAAAGGAUGGCGAUGCGUCCCAUUAGUUAGUUGGCGGGGUAACGGCCCACCAAGACGACGAUGGGUAGGGGUUCUGAGAGGAAGGUCCCCCACAUUGGAACUGAGACACGGUCCAAACUCCUACGGGAGGCAGCAGUGAGGAAUAUUGGUCAAUGGGCGGAAGCCUGAACCAGCCAAGUAGCGUGCAGGGAGACGGCCCUAUGGGUUGUAAACUGCUUUCAGUCGGGAAUAACUCGUCGGUCGCGACCGACGUUGCAGGUACCGUCAUAACAAGGACCGGCUAAUUCCGUGCCAGCAGCCGCGGUAAUACGGAAGGUCCGGGCGUUAUCCGGAUUCAUUGGGUCUACAGGGAGCGUACGUGGACUGUCAAGUCAGUUGUGAAAUCCGCGGGCUCAACCUGCGGCCUGCAGUGAAACUGCCGGCCUUGAGUCCGUUCAGGAUGCUGGGAAUUCAUGGUGUAGCGGUGAAAUGCUCAGAUAUCAUGAAGAACUCCAAUCGCGAAGGCAGGCAUCCGGGCCGGAACUGACACUGAGGCUCGAAAGUGCGGGUAUCACCAGGAUUAGAUACCCUGGUAGUCCGCACGGUAAACGAUGAAUACUCAUGGUGCGCGAGUAAUUGUGCGUCAUCAAGCGAAAGCGUUAAGUAUUCCACCUGGGGAGUACGCCGGCAACGGUGAAACUCAAAGGAAUUGACGGGGGCCCGCACAAGCGGAGGAACAUGUGGUUUAAUUCGAUGAUACGCGAGGAACCUUACCCGGGCUUGAACUGCGCAGGCAUGUGGCAGAGACGUCACAGUCUUCGGACCUGCGUGGAGGUGCUGCAUGGUUGUCGUCAGCUCGUGCCGUGAGGUGUCGGCUUAAGUGCCAUAACGAGCGCAACCCUUGUCCCCGUUUGCCAUCGGGUAAUGCCGGGCACUCCGGGGAGACUGCCAUCGUAAGAUGUGAGGAAGGUGGGGAUGACGCCAAAUCAGCUCGGCCCUUACGUCCGGGGCUACACACGUGUUACAAUGGGGGGUACAGCGGGAAGCUACCGUGCGAGCGGAUGCGGAUCCCGAAAACCCCUCUCAGUUCGGACUGGAGUCUGCAACCCGACUCCACGAAGCUGGAUUCGCUAGUAAUCGCGCAUCAGCCAUGGCGCGGUGAAUACGUUCCCGGGCCCCUUGUACACACCGNNCCCCGUNCAAGGGGCGGAAUUGCUGUUUAAACCCUGACAGGAUCUAGUCCCUUUGAGUGAGGUUAAUUCUGGCUGUGUCUGG
rnacentral:rRNA from 1 species